AUUGAACGCUGGCGGCAGGCCUAACACAUGCAAGUCGAACGAGUCGCAGACGGGUGAGUAAUGUCUGGGAACUUGCCUGAUGGAGGGGGAUAACUACUGGAAAGGGUAGCUAAUACCGCAAACCAUCGGAUGUGCCCAGAUGGGAUUAGCUUGUAGGGGGGGUAACGGCACACCUAGGCGACGACCCCUAGCUGGUCUGAGAGGAUGACCAGCCACACUGGAACGGAGACACGGUCCAGACUCCUACGGGAGGCAGCAGUGGGGAAUAUUGCACAAUGGGCGCAAGCCUGAUGCAGCCAUGCCGCGUGUAUGAAGAAGGCCUUCGGGUUGUAAAGCACUUUCAGCGGGGAGGCGUUACCCGCAGAAGAAGCACCGGCUAACUCCGUGCCAGCAGCCGCGGUAAUAC
rnacentral:rRNA from 1 species